UCCACACUGAGUGCUUCAAAUCAUUCAGACGAGAUGCUGUUUUUAGGGCAGUUUAUUAAAGAAGACCUGGAUGACUUCCAAUGAGAAACGACUGCUAAUACUUAUAUAAAUUCAUUACAGAAGGACCCUACCAGACUAUAUUUGAAUACGGCAUACCCAUGAAUUCUGGAACUGUUAUUCCUUAACCCAGUUUGGAGGAUAAGAGCUUACCAACUAGUUAUAAAUAUGCUGAGGUGAUGUAUUGCAAAAUAGCCAACAUACAACAACAUGGAUGACCCUCUGUCUGGUCAACAGGAGUUUAAAUAUGGACGGGACAGUGAUGUGGCAGCUCUUCCCUGGCUCAUUCACCUCUUGCCUUCAUUUGUGAAAGGAAGAAAGAAGAAAGAGGGUCAAUGUGCAACUGAAGCUACUGAUUGUGCGGUGUGAUGAGCAUCAAUCCAUGCUUUGAGGUGGAUGAAUCAGCACAGCCCUGCCUGCUCUGCGUUGGGAACAGAAGUUGCAUCCAGAAUUUUUGCAUCAUUCUGGACCAAAAAGCCAUUCCCUCCAUGAUGAAGACCACUGAUGCAGCCUUCCACUACAUCAUGAGUAAAACAACUACAGAACUAAAUACCAGGUUGGAACGUAUUUAAGAAAAAUGA